UACGUAGGGGGCUAGCGUUGUCCGGAAUCAUUGGGCGUAAAGCGCGUGUAGGCGGCCCGGUAAGUCCGCUGUGAAAGUCGGGGGCUCAACCCUCGAAUGCCGGUGGAUACUGUCGGGCUCGAGUGCGGAAGAGGCGAGUGGAAUUCCUGGUGUAGCGGUGAAAUGCGUAGAUAUCUGGAGGAACACCGUUGGCGAAGGCGAGCUUCUGGGCUGUUCCUGACGCUGAAGCGCGAAAGCUGGGGGGAGCAAACAGG
rnacentral:rRNA from 1 species